rfam:Danio rerio unplaced genomic contig CTG2934, GRCz11 reference primary assembly.
GGCUUGUUGGUCUAGGGGUAUGAUUCUUGCUUAGGGUGUGAGAGGUCCUGGGUUUAAAUCCCAGACGAGUUC